rnacentral:lncRNA from 1 species
GAUCCAAGGUAUCCCAAGCAUUGUGGAAGGAAUAGGAAGAUCAUUUUGGAUAAAUGGUGCUUAAGAGACAAGAGGAGAAAAGGAUGUGCUUGGUGACUUGUUGGAUAUAUGAAGGAGGAAGUAACUGGGGAGAUUUUUCCUUUGGGGACCUCGAAUGCUGUUCUGUUAAUAGAUGCAGGAUCGACUACCUCCAGGCACCUGCACACAGCUGGAUCCUUGAUUCAGGCUGCAGAUGGAGGCCAUUAACAAGAAAAACACGAAUUCAACACUAAACCGGAACGAG